UAGUCCACGCCGUAAACGAUGUCAACUAGCCGUCGGGCUCAUUUAAGGGUUUGGUGGCGCAGCUAACGCGCUAAGUUGACCGCCUGGGGAGUACGCCGGCAACGGUAAAACUCAAAGGAAUUGACGGGGCCCGCACAAGCGGUGGAGCAUGUGGUUUAAUUCGAUGCAACGCGAAGAACCUUACCUACCCUUGACAUCCUCAGAACUUGUUAGAGAUAACUUGGUGCCUUCGGGAAUUGAGUGACAGGUGCUGCAUGGCUGUCGUCAGCUCGUGUCGUGAGAUGUUGGGUUAAGUCCCGCAACGAGCGCAACCCUUAUCCUAUGUUGCCAGCAAGUAAAGUUGGGGACUCGUAGGAGACUGCCGGGGUCAACUCGGAGGAAGGUGGGGACGACGUCAAGUCAUCAUGCCCUUAUAUCCAGGGGCUGCAAACAUGCUACAAUGGCCGGUACAAAGGGCUGCGAGACCGCGAGGUUAAGCGAAUCCCAUAAA
rnacentral:rRNA from 1 species